rnacentral:misc_RNA from 1 species
GAUGAAGAACGUAGCGAAAUGCGAUACGUAAUGUGAAUUGCAGAAUUCAGUGAAUCAUCGAGUCUUUGAACGCACAUUGCGCCCCCUGGUAUUCCGGGGGGCAUGCCUGUCCGAGCGUCAUUGCUGCCCUCAAGCACGGCUUGUGUGUUGGGCCUCCGUCCUCCUCCCGGGGGACGGGCCCGAAAGGCAGCGGCGGCCCCGCGUCCGGUCCUCGAGCGUAUGGGGCUUCGUCACCCGCUCUUGUAGGCCCGGCCGGCGCUUGACGCCACAUCAAUCUUUUUUCCAGGUUGACCUCGGAUCAGGUAGGGAUACCCGCUGAACUUAAGCAUAUCAAUAAGCGGAGGA